rnacentral:rRNA from 1 species
AAUGUAAUUCAUACAUAUUUAAUGCACUAGGUCCCAUUAGAACUCCAAAUUUAAGCGUGCUUGGGCUAGAGUAGUAUUGGGAUGGGUGACCUCCUGGGAAGUCUUGGUAUUUUACAUGC